AUACGGAGGGUGCAAACGUUGUUCGGAAUCACUGGGCGUAAAGGGCGCGCAGGCGGUUUGAUUAGUCAGAUGUGAAAGCCCACGGCUUAACCGUGGAAGUGCAUUUGAAACUGUCAGACUUGAGUACUAGAGGGGAAAGUGGAAUUCCCGGUGUAGAGGUGAAAUUCGUAGAUAUCGGGAGGAAUACCGGUGGCGAAGGCGACUUUCUGGCUAGAUACUGACGCUGAGGCGCGAAAGCGUGGGGAGCAAACAGGAGUAGAAACCCCGGUAGUCC
rnacentral:rRNA from 1 species